rnacentral:misc_RNA from 1 species
UUUUUUUUUUUUUUUUUGCAUUUCAAAGCAAUAAGUUUAAUGUGCCAAAUAACUAAUGAUCUAUAUUCCAUAAUCAAAUCCCUAAGGGUGCAUCUGCUGAACUUAAAUCAUCAAAAAUUAAUUAAAAUUUCCCAAAUUCAAAACAAUAUGAGAGGUAUAGUUAAACAAGAAAAGACCCAAGAAAACUGAAAUUAAGACUGGUAAGAGUAUAUGAAUUCUUACAAAAUUCUUCUUCUUGAUGUAAGUUUCUUGACUUCAUUCCAGUCUCUGAUGCAAACUAAGGAAUUAUUGAACUAGGAGAAGAGAAAUGCACAGAGAGAAGAAACGAGAAACAGAGAAUAGAGAAAAUCAGUUCAUCCAUCAAUCUUCAACAAUAUUUCUCUUCCUCUAUACUCAAAGAAUCGGUUACACUGGAACUGAAUAACAACCUCUCUAACUACUUCACAGCUCAGCUAAUACAAUUAUGACAAGCUAACUAACAACUUUGGCCCCAUUUCUUCUGCAACC